rnacentral:rRNA from 1 species
UACAGAGGGGGCAAGCGUUAUUCGGAAUUAUUGGGCGUAAAGGGCGCGUAGGCGGCUUGGCAAGUGGAUGGUGAAAUCCCUCGGCUUAACCGAGGAACUGCCGUCCAAACUGCUUCGCUUGAGACCGGGGAGAGGUGAGUGGAAUUCCCAGUGUAGCGGUGAAAUGCGUAGAUAUUGGGAGGAACACCAGUGGCGAAGGCGGCUCACUGA